rnacentral:snRNA from 1 species
CUCAAGAUCUUCACUCUCUCC